UAGGGAAUCUUCGGCAAUGGGGGGAACCCUGACCGAGCAACGCCGCGUGAGUGAAGAAGGUUUUCGGUUCGUAAAGCUCUGUUGUUAAGGAAGAACGAGUGUGAGAAUGGAAAGUUCAUGCUGUGACGGUACUUAACCAGAAAGGGACGGCUAACUACGUGCCAGCAGCCGCGGUAAUACGUAGGUCCCGAGCGUUGUCCGGAUUUAUUGGGCGUAAAGCGAGCGCAGGCGGUUAGAAAAGUCUGAAGUGAAAGGCAGUGGCUCAACCAUUGUAGGCUUUGGAAACUGUUUAACUUGAGUGCAGAAGGGGAGAGUGGAAUUCCAUGUGUAGCGAUGAAAUGCGUAGAUAUAUGGAGGAACACCGGUGGCGAAAGCGGCUCUCUGGUCUGUAACUGACGCUGAGGCUCGAAAGCGUGGGGAGCGAACAGG
rnacentral:rRNA from 1 species